GAGAAAGGUGAUAAAUCAAACACCAAGGGUGAUCUGGGUAAAAGAAGUUGGGUUGAAUGGGCAGUGAGAAAGUUUGUUGGAAAGUUGCCAAAUAAUGGAACAUCCUAUUUCUGGCAAAAUCAGUAACUUGUCUGGUUGUGAGGUUGGCGGGAAGAUCUGGUGGAGAGGGAGGUUGCAUAGUGGGUUUUGAGGACGAAGAGGCCAU
rnacentral:lncRNA from 1 species